GAUGAACGCUGGCGGCGUGCCUAAUACAUGCAAGUCGAGCGAACAGACGAGGAGCUUGCUCCUCUGACGUUAGCGGAGGGCGGGUGAGUAACACGUGGAUAACCUACCUAUCAGACUGGGAUAACUUCGGGAAACCGGAGCUAAUACCGGAUAAUAUAUUGAACCGCAUGGUUCAAUAGUGAAAGACGGUUUUGCUGUCACUUAUCGAUGGAUCCCGGCCGCAUUGGCUAGUUGGUAAGGUAAAGGCUUACCAAGGCAACGAUGCGUAGCCGACCGGAGAGGGUGAUCGGCCGCACUGGAACUGAGACACGGUCCAGACUCCUACGGGAGGCAGCAGUAGGGAAUCGUCCGCAAUGGGCGAAAGCCUUACGGAGCAACGCCGCGUGAGUGAUGAAGGUCUUCGGAUCGUAAAACUCUGUUAUUGGGUAAGAACAAAUGUGUAAGGAACUAUGCACGUCUUGACGGUACCUAAUCAGAAAGCCACGGCUAACUACGUG
rnacentral:rRNA from 1 species